rnacentral:misc_RNA from 1 species
GUAUAAGGGACAGGUGAGUCAUCGAAUCUUUGAACGCACAUUGCGCCCCUUGGUAUUCCAUGGGGCAUGCCUGUUCGAGCGUCAUUUGUACCCUCAAGCUCUGCUUGGUGUUGGGUGUUUGUCCACUCCGCCGUGUGUGGACUCGCCUUAAAGCAAUUGGCAGCCAGUGUUUUGGUAUUGAAGCGCAGCACAUUUUGCGAGUCAUGCCUGUAAUGCUGGCGUCCAGUAAGCCUUUUUCCACUUUUGACCUCGGAUCAGGUAGGGAUACCCGCUGAACUUAAGCAUAUCAAUAAGCGGAGG